UCGCUGGAGGGCUAGUGGUUAGGCCACAGCGCUCUCACCUCUGUGACCCAGGUUCGAUUCCUGGCCAGGGAA